UGGACUCAGGACGAACGCUGGCGGCGUGCUUAACACAUGCAAGUUGAACGGUAUGACAUGGAAGCUUGCUGAAGUGUCAUAUAGUAGCGGACGGGUGAGUAAUGCAUGAGAAGCUGCCAUUGGGAGGGGGACAACAGUUGGAAACGGCUGCUAAUACCCCGUAUGCCGGAGGGUGAAAGGGAGUAAUCCGCCCGAUGAGGUGCUCAUGUCCUAUCAGCUGGUUGGUGGGGUAACGGCCUACCAAGGCGACGACGGGUAGCCGGCCUGAGAGGGUGAACGGCCACACUGGAACUGAGAUACGGUCCAGACUCCUACGGGAGGCAGCAGUGGGGAAUAUUGGGCAAAUGGGGGCAACCCUGACCCAGCGACGCCGCGUGGGGGAAGACGGCCUUCGGGUUGUAAACCUCUUUUGUACGGGAAGAAGGAAGUGACGGUACUGUACGAAUAAGUCCCGGCUAACUACGUGCCAGCAGCCGC
rnacentral:rRNA from 1 species